AAAGUAGAAGUUUAAAAAUAUUUGACCUGCAAUCAAAAGAAGGCUUUAUAUAGAGCCCUACUUUA
rnacentral:tRNA from 1 species